UUCCAGCCAGUCCCCACCAUCUCAGGAUGCUACAUUCCCAGCACAUUCUACAGUUCUUCUUGAGAAGUGCAAACGCGAAGUCCAGUGGGAGAGCAGGAUUUGACUAAGGCCACUUGGAGAAUUUUCCUGCAGAAGUGAUUUACAAAGAGCGAGGUUUGCUUACAUAUAGGCACCUUUAACUAAAGUGAAAAACCCAAUGGAUCGCUAAAGACAAGAGCAACCAUGUAGGUCAAAGCAGGUGUGCUGCAGCAGCUGCAUAUAAAGGGCU
rnacentral:lncRNA from 10 species